UCUUCUGGGAUUAAAAACAAACAAGAGAUGUAUCACUGAUGGCAUUCAGUGCAAGCUCAACAUCUGGUUUCCUUAAAGAAAAAUAACUGAAUACAUUGAAUAGUCAUUUCAUAAUUACAGUUGAAAUACAAGGAUAUUUUGCACCGACAUUUCACAAAGAAGAGAUUACCAGCGCCACUUAGAGUUUUUAUUCCUCACACCCAGAUGGACCUGCUGCUCAGGCACAUUUCACAACCACAGUUUAAUAGCAACGGCUUUCAGUCAAUACCUUCAAAAGAAAACAGACAGGAUCUAGCAAUUCUAUGAAUUCACUCCUGACUCCCAACUGGAAAGGCUAUUCCCUUCAGUAAACGCUACAGGGGUCAAGUCCAGCUCUGUGGAAGGGUGGCCAGAUAACACAACGUCUGCAUUUCACCCAUCUAGCUGAACAUGCACCAGGCUUUGCCAGCUGCGCUCCCCAGUUGAGACUCCGGACUCCCCACAUCUACUUAUUGCUGAAGACGUAAAAAUGGGAGAAUUUGGUGCUUCCUGAAAAAUUUGCCACUGUAUUAUCAAAGUCCACAAAUACAUAAAUUCUCGCUCGCUGCCAAGAAAAUUUUUAUCAUAGGGAGCUAUGCCUUAGGAUGCUUCUGGAAAAAAGGAUGAAAAUUCAAGUCAUAAAAAAUUAAACACGCGAUCUGGGGGAAGAGGGGAACUGACAAGUCUGCAAACACAUGCAAAAUAAUCUACCCCAAACCAAAAACACAGAGAGGCAUACAAAAAAAAAUAAAACCCGCACAAGCCAUCUGUGAAUGACUAUUUCAGAAUCUUCCCUCUCUCUCAAAUCAAACCUAAAUGUCAAAAUAAAUGUGUGUGAAGAUCCAUUUUGCAUGGAACAUAUUUUUCAGAUGUUCCACUUUACAACUGUUUUCACAGAAAAAAAAAAAGUACCUCCCCACAACAGUCAAGCUGCAGGAAUGAUAGCUUUUAGCUGGCUAGCCAUUUCCACAGCUGACUUUAUACACAGGCAGCUUCAGGAACCCCAAAACAACUACAGCACAUAUGUAGAAGUAUUUCAUAGCUUUUCUAUAGAAUCACAGUUUAACUUAUCUUUUAUGGUUUGCUUGGCAACACUUUAGCACCAUCAGAAUCUCUUUUAAGUUUACAGCUUUUUUCCCUUUUUCCAAAGUUGUUCUAAAGAAAGAGUUAAACUACACAGUCUAUAAAGUUCCAUUUAUACAAUAAAUAGGCUUGUCCGAUUUAGAAAUAAUCGAAAGUCAUUUUCCAACCUUAUAUACCAUCAAUAUAUUUACACUCAGUGCUUUCUAAAGUCAUGUAAGCUGAUACAAAUUCCCUCAUUGUGACACAAAAUAGAUACUGUGAGGCUUAUUUUUAAUUAUGAAUGGUUAUGAAAAAAUAAUUGUAAGAAACAGCUAUUGACAAGUGGAACUAAAACCUAUAAUACUAAAAGCUUGUAGAAAUUAAGCAAUGUGUCUGACAUUGCGGCAGGUUAACUGACAAACAGAACAUCUCAGUAAUACUUUAAUACUGAUGCUGUUACAUGAACUGCAAUGAGGGAUGUAAGUAAUUUUGUUUUACGGUAUGGGAUACCUAGACAAUGGUCUGGAAUUCAAGUAAAUCUGUGCUUCACAAAACAAGUUAUACUGUGGCUCUGCUUAGCACAAUUACUUAUUUAGACAUACAGUUUUAUCCCAAAAUCCUGUAACAUAUAAAGGAAAACUGAGGGAUUCAUUUUAAAAAAGGAAAGAACCAAAGAAGGAUACGACAAAUUAAAACAGUUUUACUAGAAACUAGUUGCUAAAAGGAAAUAUAGCCUGAGGCUCUGAAACUAAUUUUGGCAAUGCAGAAUUGGGGCUGACGUAUACUUUUUUGCAAAUGCUUUGUGCCUUCCAUAAACAAAGAAAAAGCCUCCCAACAUUUGUUCCUGAAAUGCUUACUAAGGUAUCACUUUUAGUGAUCUUCAUGGUUUUGCCUAAGUAAUCACGGAACGAUGAGUCCUUGGUAAGACAGAAAUGGUUAUAACACUAUUGCAUAUACAGGAUAUAUAUGCAUUAGAAGUCUGUAACACAUCUACCUCAGCGACUCGAUCGUUCCUAAAAGUGCACCAUAACCCAGUUCCUCUUAAAAAUGCAAGACAAGUGCUGGGGAGGGUGGUUUUUUCACUUUGUUUUUGGUUGGGUUUUGUUCUUUACAUAGAGACAAAGUAGGAAAGAGAUCCUUUAUAGAGGUCUAAACAGAUAUUGUAAUAUAUCUAGUCAUAAUAUAUUGACAUCUCAGGUGCAGUGUAUAUGCCAGACCUUUAAUUCAUGCAACACAUUCAAAAGCGGACUUCUGUCAUUAUAGGUACGCUAUUUGUAUUUAUACCAUGAGUAUGUAAAUACAUAUACAAGCACGGGAUUAUAUAGAGAAACACAUCAUUUAAUGUAACCCCUGGCAUGACUUGCUUCUCAGGAAGGAAGUCUUUCAGUGUUCCUAUAUAGAGACUGGAGCUCAGGAAAUUAAAACUUAUCUCUAGAGUCGCUUCUCUGUGCAGGAAUGUUCCCCCCCUCCACAGCCUAAGAAUCUGAUUCAUUUUCCAUUUCAACUCUCUUCCCUCCCCUCCAGUCCAUGGGCAGUCAUUACAAGAUACUCUGAGCACUUGUUGUUUUCAAAAACACCAAAUCUGUCUUCUUAAUUUUUUUUAAAUGUAAAAAGAAAAAAAAAAAAGGUGGUGGUACUGAUGGACAAGUGCAAAGCCGUGUGCGCGGACUGAAGAUUUACAGUGAAAAGUUGUGCUUUGUGGUGCGUUUUUUGUGAAGGAUGGGAGUUCUAAAUUAAAUUUUUCAAAACUGCA